CACGUAGGCACCAAGCGUUGUCCGGAUUUAUUGGGCGUAAAGAGCUCGUAGGCGGUUCGGUAAGUCGGGUGUGAAAACUCUGGGCUCAACCCAGAGCCGCCACCCGAUACUGCUGUGGCUAGAGUCCGGUAGGGGAGCGUGGAAUUCCUGGUGUAGCGGUGAAAUGCGCAGAUAUCAGGAGGAACACCAGCGGCGAAGGCGGCGCUCUGGGCCGGAACUGACGCUGAGGAGCGAAAGCGUGGGGAGCAAACAG
rnacentral:rRNA from 1 species